rnacentral:rRNA from 1 species
UGAGAGCAUGGCCCCCACCACUGGGACUGAGACACUGCCCAGACACCUACGGGUGGCUGCAGUCGAGAAUCUUUGGCAAUGUCGACGCAAGGUGUGACCAAGCGACGCCGAGUGCUGGAUGAAGGCCUUCGGGGUUGUAAACGAGCUGUCAGAGGGGGAUGAAAAUUGUUGGGGGCUAUCCCCCUUCAUUGACAAAGCCUCAGAGGAAGCGCGGGCUAAGUUCGUGCCAGCAGCCGCGGUAA